GACGUAGGGGACGAGCGUUGUCCGGAUUUAUUGGGCGUAAAGCGCGCGCAGGCGGCCACGUAAGUCGGAUGUGAAAUCCCGGGGCUCAACCCCGGAACUGCAUUCGAUACUGCGUGGCUCGAGGUAGGUAGGGGAGAUCGGAAUUCCUGGUGUAGCGGUGGAAUGCGCAGAUAUCAGGAGGAACACCGGUGGCGAAGGCGGAUCUCUGGGCCUUACCUGACGCUCAGGCGCGAAAGCUAGGGGAGCGAACAGGAUUAGAUACCCUGGUAGUCCUAGCCGUAAACGUUGGGUGCUAGGUGUGGGUGGAUAUCAACCCCAUCCGUGCCGAAGCUAACGCAUUAAGCACCCCGCCUGGGGAGUACGGCCGCAAGGCUAAA
rnacentral:rRNA from 1 species